rnacentral:rRNA from 1 species
UAAAAUUAAUUUUAUUAUAUAUUAGUAUUGCAUACUAUUUUAGGAAAAUUUUAUAUUUAUAAAUUAUAGAAACAAAGAGUUUAAGUUUGAGUUUUGUUUACUGUUACAAAUCUAAUUUUACUCAAAUUAGUGUUGAAAUAUCGUUCUUUGUGAUAUCUGUUUUUAUUUUAAAUAUUAGAAAAUUAUAUUUUUAUCUUUAAUUAAAAGGAAAAUAAUAGAUUGAAGUUCUUUUAUUAUGAGUGUUACUACUCUUUCUUUGUUAAAAUAAAUAUUAUUAUUAAUUAUUUUUAUAAUACUUUAUAAAAUUUAUUAUCUAAAAAUUAGUAAAAAAUUUAAAUCUUAUAUUUUAUUAAAAUAUAGAUUAAAGAACUUGGAAUUUUGAUCAAAUGUUUAUUAAAGACUUAGGUUUUAUAUUAAAACUGUCUUCUGCCCUAUGAUUUUAUUAAAUGGCAGUCUUAACAUGAGGACAUUAAGGUAGCAAAAUAAUUUGUGCUUUUAUUGAGUUCCAGUAUGAAUGAAGAUAAUGGUUGAUUAUUUUUUUUCUUUAUUUUGAAUUUAAUAUACAUCUAAGAAAAGAUGUUUAUAAUAAAACAAAGAUAAGUCUUCGGAAAUUCUAUUCUUAAUUAUUUUAAAAUUUAUUUAAGAAGUUUUCUAGGGAAGAAAUAUUAUAUAAUUGUGUUUUACUAAUUAUAAAAUAAAGAAUUACUCCGGAGUUAACAGAAAAUCAUACCCAAUAUAGUUCUUAUAUUAGUGGUAAGUUUUACAUCGAUGUUGUAUUCCUAUAAACCAAGGAAGAAGAAGAUUUGGUAAUUGAGACUGUUCUUCUUUUAAUUAAUAGGACGUGAUAUUAGUUUAAUUCAUUGUGAGAUAGAAUUGUUUAUCUUGUUUAUUAUUAUUAAUUAAUUUAAUUAGUACGAAAGGAAU